UUCCUUUUUUUUUUUUUUUAAAUAAUGAAAGCAUUUCAUUACAGGCAGAGCCCAAAGAGCCCAGAAAAGGGCAGACCUACUGCAUCCAUACACAAGUAGGAAGAGGAAAGUAAUCUAAACAGCAAAAGACCUUCCAAUGGUCAGCUUAAUCAGCCUCCUCGUGUGGACAAGGGAGGGCAUCAUUUUUGAGAACCAAGCAUAAGGAAGGUGGUGGCAGAUUUGACUAUCUUUGAAGACCCACCGACCGAUAGGCAAGCGAAGCAACAAUAUGAGCCGCCCGAUUCGCUUCACGGGGAACCCAGUCCCAAGUAACUUCAUCAAAGUCGUGCUUUAAAGCAAGAUUGAUGAUACCCAGAAGAACUGCUUCAGCUUCAGCUAUCCCACCGAGCCAGAGACCGCGGAUUUGUGGUUAGGAACUAAUCAUCCUCGAUAAAUGGACAAUACAUAACUGCAAGAUCCAUAAAUCAUUGUUUCUUUUCUUAAAUUAUGUAAAUUUAAAAUAAAUAAAUAAACAAAUAGACAUCAUGAAUCAUGAAUGUCCAUGUAUAUAAAGCCAUCUACUAAGGAAACCACCCCCGGGGCGGAAUUUUAAGGGAUCACACAGAGUGAUAUAACUCAU